rnacentral:rRNA from 1 species
CCUGAUGCAGCCAUGCCGCGUGUGUGAAGAAGGCCUUCGGGUUGUAAAGCACUUUCAGCGAGGAGGAAAGGUGGUUGGCUAAUACCCAAUCGCUGUGACGUUACUCGCAGAAGAAGCACCGGCUAACUCCGUGCCAGCAGCCGCGGUAAU